UACGUAGGUGGCAAGCGUUGUCCGGAUUUAUUGGGUUUAAAGGGUGCGUAGGCGGCCCCGUAAGUCAGUGCUGAAAUCCCCCGGCUUAACCGGGGUGGUGGCAUUGAUACUGCAGGGCUUGAGUACAGAUGAGGUAGGCGGAAUUGACGGUGUAGCGGUGAAAUGCAUAGAUAUCGUCAAGAACACCGAUAGCGAAGGCAGCUUACUGGGCUGUAACUGACGCUGAUGCACGAAAGUGUGGGGAUCAAACAGG
rnacentral:rRNA from 1 species